rnacentral:rRNA from 1 species
AAUAUAUCGGAACGUACCCAAGAGUGGGGGAUAACGUAGCGAAAGUUACGCUAAUACCGCAUACGAUCUAAGGAUGAAAGCAGGGGAUCUUCGGACCUUGUGCUCCUGGAGCGGCCGAUAUCUGAUUAGCUAGUUGGUGAGGUAAAGGCUCACCAAGGCAACGAUCAGUAGCUGGUCUGAGAGGACGACCAGCCACACUGGAACUGAGACACGGUCCAGACUCCUACGGGAGGCAGCAGUGGGGAAUUUUGGACAAUGGGGGCAACCCUGAUCCAGCAAUGCCGCGUGAGUGAAGAAGGCCUUCGGGUUGUAAAGCUCUUUUGUCAGGGAAGAAAAGGGUCUGGCUAAUAUCCAGGCCUGCUGACGGUACCUGAAGAAUAAGCACCGGCUAACUACGUGCCAGCAGCCGCGGUAAUACGUAGGGUGCAAGCGUUAAUCGGAAUUACUGGGCGUAAAGCGUGCGCAGGCGGUUUUGUAAGUCUGUCGUGAAAUCCCCGGGCUUAACCUGGGAAUGGCGAUGGAGACUGCAAGGCUAGAGUUUGGCAGAGGGGGGUAGAAUUCCACGUGUAGCAGUGAAAUGCGUAGAGAUGUGGAGGAACACCGAUGGCGAAGGCAGCCCCCUGGGUCAAAACUGACGCUCAUGCACGAAAGCGUGGGGAGCAAACAGGAUUAGAUACCCUGGUAGUCCACGCCCUAAACGAUGUCUACUAGUUGUUGGGUCUUAAUUGACUUAGUAACGCAGCUAACGCGUGAAGUAGACCGCCUGGGGAGUACGGUCGCAAGAUUAAAACUCAAAGGAAUUGACGGGGACCCGCACAAGCGGUGGAUGAUGUGGAUUAAUUCGAUGCAACGCGAAAAACCUUACCUACCCUUGACAUGGCAGGAAUCCCGGAGAGAUUUGGGAGUGCUCGAAAGAGAACCUGCACACAGGUGCUGCAUGGCUGUCGUCAGCUCGUGUCGUGAGAUGUUGGGUUAAGUCCCGCAACGAGCGCAACCCUUGUCAUUAGUUGCUACGCAAGAGCACUCUAAUGAGACUGCCGGUGACAAACCGGAGGAAGGUGGGGAUGACGUCAAGUCCUCAUGGCCCUUAUGGGUAGGGCUUCACACGUCAUACAAUGGUACAUACAGAGGGCCGCCAACCCGCGAGGGGGAGCUAAUCCCAGAAAGUGUAUCGUAGUCCGGAUUGUAGUCUGCAACUCGACUACAUGAAGUUGGAAUCGCUAGUAAUCGCGG